GACGAACGCUGGCGGCGUGCUUAACACAUGCAAGUCGAACGGAAAGGCCCUGCUUUUGUGGGGUGCUCGAGUGGCGAACGGGUGAGUAACACGUGAGUAACCUGCCCUUGACUUUGGGAUAACUUCAGGAAACUGGGGCUAAUACCUGAUAGGAGCUCCUGCUGCAUGGUGUGGGUUGGAAAGUUUCGGCGGUUGGGGAUGGACUCGCGGCUUAUCAGCUUGUUGGUGGGGUAGUGGCUUACCAAGGCUUUGACGGGUAGCCGGCCUGAGAGGGUUACCGGCCACAUUGGGACUGAGAUACGGCCCAGACUCCAACGGGAGGCAGCAGUGGGGAAUAGUGCACAAUGGGCGGAAGCCUGAUGCAGCAAAGCCGCGUGCGGGAUGACGGCCUUCGGGUUGUAAACAGCUUUCGAAUGUGACGAAGAGUGAGUGACGGUAAUGGGUAAAGAAGCACCGGCUAACUACGUG
rnacentral:rRNA from 1 species